UACGGGGGGGGCAAGCGUUGUUCGGAAUUACUGGGCGUAAAGGGCGCGUAGGCGGCCUGCUAAGUCGGACGUGAAAUCCCUCGGCUCAACCGGGGAACUGCGUCCGAUACUGGUGGGCUCGAAUCCGGGAGAGGGAUGUGGAAUUCCAGGUGUAGCGGUGAAAUGCGUAGAUAUCUGGAGGAACACCGGUGGCGAAGGCGGCAUCCUGGACCGACACUGACACUGAGGAGCGAAAGCCAGGGGAGCAAACGGG
rnacentral:rRNA from 1 species